GCGGGCUGAUCUACAGGCUCGACUUUUUGUUUUGGAGGUUGCUGCUCGUCGUUGGUUAUAUGGGGAGGCGUUUUGGUGGUCCAAGUUUCCUAGGCAGUGCUUUUGCUGGCAGGGAAAGUUCAGAGGAAUAUGCUUUGAGAGGUGUCAUAAUAUGAAAGGAAACAAUUAGUUCUGCCCAAGGGUGUUUCUUUGUACCGGGGCAUUGUCUCCAUAUGCUAGAUGAAAUCCAUGCCUCCCACAGUUAUUGAAGGUGUGUUGCUUCCAUUUGCAAGUAAGAAAGUAAUGCUCCUAAUGAAUUUGCUACAGUUUUUGUGCUCUGCUGAACUUUCCUUUAUUUUGUCAUUUUGGCGGGUGUAUUCCAUCGGAUUUUGCAGAAUCUACCUGACUACACAAGGUUUUGCAGGUAGCAUCAGCAAGAAUUGUUGGGCUUAAAAAUCCAGGAUGGUGUUGUUAAUGCAACAUCUCUGUUUGAAGAGUUGGUGACUGUAGUUUUUGGAAACUAUAGUGAUGGGCUAAUCUACCAGACUGUGGAGCUGCCUCAGAAUGGCGAGUUUUCUUGUGCCAAUGAAACUGGUUCUCAUAGAUCGUAAAGGAUGCUUCUAUUAUGUUUAUUUGGCUUCAACAUUACCUAUAGCAAGAUGCAUUUUUUUCGCUUGUUUUUUUCCCUGCAAGACCUUAUUCCUUGCACUCUUGAGUCUUUUGAGAAGGAGAAAAUUAUUGUUGGGAGGGAAAAAGACUGAUCAUGAGUUCCUGAAACAGAGUGCAACAGUGAAGAACAAGAGGCUUUUUUGUUGAUGAGUCGGCCUAAAUAUAUUUUAGAUGAUUGCCAAAAAGUUGUUAUUGAAGGAUUGGAGUCAAGCUUAGGAUCAGUUUAUCCUAUGGGUCUGUACUACAAGGUUGAGUGCGUCAACCGACAACGCAGAAAUCAGGUUUAUAGACGAGUGCUUUAUGCCGGGGUGGACGAGCUUCCGUUAGGCCAUUGAUUUCCCAAUGAAGGAGCUUUGAGGCAAGCACUGCAAUGAUGUAUAUUUGUAUAUGGCAUAAUCUGUAGGAACCCUCUCCUUGUUUCCUUUUGUUCUUGGUUUUGCUCCAGUUGAUUACUGCCCUAUGAGAUCUGCACAGACAAAAUUCAUGUUGAUUUGUUUAGUUGUGGCAUG